rnacentral:lncRNA from 1 species
AAAAUCCCAAAUUUGGGGAAAAGGGCAGAAAUUGGAUCGGAAAAAAUCCCAAAUUUCAUUUUUUUCCUGAUUAAAAAGCUCCCCCAGCUCAGCAUUCCCUGACCUGAACUCAUUUUGGGGGGAAAAAACCCAAUUUGGGGAAAAAUACCCCAAUUUUGAGGAAGAAAACCCCAAUUUUGGGGAAGAAAACCCCAAUUUAGGGGGGAAAAAGAAAUCCCAAUUUUGGGGAUGAAACCCCAAUUUUGGGGGAAAAAAUCUAAUUUUGGGGAAAAAUACCCCAAUUUUUGGGAAAAAACCCCAAUUUUGGGGAAAAAAAAUCCCAAAUUUGGGGAAAAAAAUCCCAAAUUUGGGGAAAAAUACCCCAAUUUUGGGGGAAAAAAUUCCAAUUUUGGGGAAAAACACCCCAAUUUUUGGGAAAAACACCCCAAUUUUUGGGAAAAAACCCCAAUUUUGGGGAAAAAAAAUCCGAUUUUGGGGUUUGUGGCUGGAGGGCAGAAGGAAUUUGGGGGAAAUGAGGAAUUUUGGGGUUUCUGGGGAGCCCCGGGGGUAAAAAUCCACCGAUUGAGGCAAUUUUGGGGCGUUUUGAGGGAAUUUGGGGUUUUUCUGGGAGGAGGCCGAUUCCCGCUGAUUCCUGGUGCAGAUCCCAGCAGAUUCUGGGGGGAUCCCAGCAGAUCCAGCAGGAUCCCCACUUCCAGGGACCCCCAUUUUUGCUGUCAGUCCUGGCAGAUCCCAGCGGAUCCAGCGGGAUCCCCACUGGCAGAGAUCCCUGAUCCUGGUGCAGAUCCCAGCAGGAUCCCUGUGCAGAUCCACCCGGAUCCCAGUUCCUGGUGCAGAUCCCAGCAUAUUCCGGAGGGAUCCCAGCAGAUCCAGUGGGAUCCCCACUUGCAGCCAUCCCUGGGCUUGGUAUCGAUUCCAGCAGAUUCUGUCAAGAUCCCAGCAGAUCCAGCAGGAUCCCUGUUCCUGGAGCAGAUCCCGGGGAGAUCCCAGCAGACCCAGCAGGAUCCCCCCUCGCCGACACCGCUGUGCUCACCCGCCAGAUCCCUGCAGACCCCGUUGGAUCCCAGUGGAUCCCGGGAUCGUGUCUCAGCGGGGCUGCCGGCCCAGCCUGCGGAAGACGCUGCGGGAGCCGCAGGAGCUGCGGGAGGCGCUGCCGCCGCAGGAGGAGCCGCAGGAGCUGCUGGACACGGCCCCGUCCUGCAUCGCUGCAGAUCCAUCCCGGCGCCGCUUCAGCACUCCGGCGUAGGGCAGCGCCUCGGGAUCCGCCUGAUCCCCUGAUGGAUCCCCCUGAGGAUCCCCCGAGGGAUCCCCGGAGCUCUCCGGGGCCGCGCCCAGGCGGCCGAACACCCCCGAGGGCUGCGGGAGAGAGCGCCAUGGGUGGGGCCGGUGGAUCCCGGUCCUGCCCUGGAUCCUGGAUCCCUCCCCUGGAUCCCAAAUCCCUCCCCCAAAUCCUUCUCUGGAUCCCAAACCCUGCCCUGGAUCCCAAAUCCUCCCUCUCCCUGGAUCCUGAUCCCCCUGGAUCCCAAAUACCUCCCCCAGACCCUGCCCUGGGUCCCAAAUCCUUCCCUGGAUCACAAAUCCUGCCCGGGAUCCCAAAUCCCUCCCCCUCCCUGGAUCCUGAUCCCCCUGGAUCCCAAAUCCUCCCCUGGGUCCCAAAUCCUGCCCCGGAUCCCAAAUCCUUCCCUGGAUCCCAA